rnacentral:rRNA from 1 species
GGGUGCGAUCGUACCAGCACUAAAGCACCGAUCCCAUCAGAACUCUUUAGUUAAACGUGCUUGGGCGAGAGUAGUACUGGCUUGGGUGAACCGC